UCCGUAGGUGAAACCUGCGGAAGGAUCAUUAAUGGUUAACAUUCUCCUAGAGAUAUGUGACUACAAACUCAUGGGUUGGUUUUGUGGCUUGCUACAAAACUACUCAAUGGAGCUUGGCCAGUCUGCCUUGCUCUACACACAGAUCAGAGUGAUGUCGGUGUUCCAGCAAUGCCCUUUGCUCCCUGUGGCCAGAGUUUUCAGGUGCAGUGCCCCCAUGACUCAGUUAGGGGAUAAGGAAUUUAUUCUGAACUGCAUAAGUACCUACGCCUGACUUCUUUGGUUUUGUGCUCACCCCGGUUUGGGAUGUGAAAACUGUUGUACUGUGUUUUCUCUUAAAAGCAGAAAUGCUUGCAACUAAGUGAAUAUAACACUCUACAGUGGAUCACUUGGCUCGGGGGUCGAUGAAGAACGCAGCUAACUGCGCGUCGGAAUGUGAACUGCAGGACAUGUGAGCAUCGACCUUUUGAACGCAUAUGGCGGAGUUAAAGUCCUUCUUUAACUCCAUGUUUUGCUCAGGGUCGUUUAACAUCCAUCCCUCUUGGGUUUCCAAGAGAGGCAUUGAGGUUUUGCAAUGCGUUCAGCAGUGCAUGCCUUUAAGUUGCAACUGCCUGUUAAACCAGAGGCUCUAGUGACUCUUGGGAUUCGUCCUGNGUUGCUUUGCUGACAGUUGGGCAGAGGUGAGUGCCAGACUAAGGGCACCUACCAGCUACUUUACUUUUGACCUGAGAUAAAGCAAGAUUACCCGCCGAAUUUAAGCACAUCAAUA
rnacentral:rRNA from 1 species